rnacentral:rRNA from 1 species
UAUAAAGUCUGGGCCUGCCCACUGACUCAAGUUAAAGGGCCGCGGUAUUUUGACCGUGCGAAGGUAGCAUAAUCAUUAGUCUCUUAAUUGGGGGCUUGUAUGAAUGGUUGGACAAAAAAUAAGCUGUCUCGGUUAUAUAAAUUGAACUUAACUUUUGAGUGAAAAGGCUCAAAUAUCUUAGGGGGACGAUAAGACCCUAUAAAGCUUUACAAUUAUUUAAUUAAAUUGCAAAUUGUUUAUUUAACGUAGUUUAAUUGAUGUUUGUUUCGUUGGGGCGACGAGAAUAUAAUUGGUAACUGUUCUUUACUAAAAACAAUAAUUUUUGAUAUUGUGAUCCUCUAUUAGAGAUUAAAAGAUUAAGUUACUUUAGGGAUAACAGCGUAAUCUUCUUUGAAAGUUCAUAUCGACAAGAAGGGUUGCGACCUCGAUGUUGAAUUAAGGUUUCUUUGUGGUGCAGCGGUCACAAUAAGAGGGU